rnacentral:rRNA from 1 species
GUAGUUCGAUCCUGGCUACGAGGACACGCUGGCGGCGUGCUUAACACAUGCAAGUCGAACGGAGUGCCUCGGAAAGAGAUUUCGGUCAAUGGAAGAGGUUACUUAGUGGCGGACGGGUGAGUAACGCGUGAGGAACCUGCCUUUCAGAGGGGGACAACAGCUGGAAACGGCUGCUAAUACCGCAUAACAUAUAGGUAUCGCAUGGUGCCUAUAUCAAAGAUUUAUCGCUGAAAGAUGGCCUCGCGUCUGAUUAGCUAGUUGGUAGGGUAACGGCCUACCAAGGCGACGAUCAGUAGCCGGACUGAGAGGUUGGCCGGCCACAUUGGGACUGAGAUACGGCCCAGACUCCUACGGGAGGCAGCAGUGGGGAAUAUUGGGCAAUGGGGCGCAAGCCUGACCCAGCAACGCCGCGUGAAGGAAGAAGGCUUUCGGGUUGUAAACUUCUUUUAAGAGGGAAGAGUAGAAGACGGUACCUCUUGAAUAAGCCACGGCUAACUACGUG